GGUGCUGUGGCUUAGUUGGUUAAAGUACCUGCCUUGUCAACAGGAGAUCCUAGGUUCAAUUCCUAGCAGUGUCU